CCUACGGGAGACAGCAGUGAGGAAUAUUGGUCAAUGGACGAGAGUCUGAACCAGCCAAGUCGCGUGAAGGAUGACUGCCCUAUGGGUUGUAAACUUCUUUUAUCUGGGAAUAAAAUGUUCCACGUGUGGGAUUUUGUAUGUACCAUAUGAAUAAGCAUCGGCUAACUCCGUGCCAGCAGCCGCGGUAAUACGGAGGAUCCGAGCGUUAUCCGGAUUUAUUGGGUUUAAAGGGUGCGUAGGCGGAUGGUUAAGUCAGUUGUGAAAGUUUGCGGCUCAACCGUAAAAUUGCAGUUGAAACUGGAAGUCUUGAGUACAGUAGAGGUGGGCGGAAUGCGGGGUGUAGCGGUGAAAUGCUUAGAUAUCACGAAGAACUCCGAUUGCGAAGGCAGUUCACUGGACUGCAACUGACACUGAGGCUCGAAAGUGUGGGUAUCAAACAGGAUUAGAUACCCCGGUAGUC
rnacentral:rRNA from 1 species